rnacentral:rRNA from 1 species
GACGUAGGGCGCGAGCGUUGUCCGGAUUUAUUGGGCGUAAAGAGCUCGUAGGCGGCUUGUCGCGUCGAAUGUGAAAUUUUAGGGCUCAACCCUGACAUUGCAUUCGAUACGGGCAGGCUUGAGUUCGGUAGGGGGAGACUGGAAUUCCUGGUGUAGCGGUGAAAUGCGCAGAUAUCAGGAGGAACACCGGUGGCGAAGGCGGGUCUCUGGGCAGUGACUGACGCUGAGGAGCGAAAGUCGGUAGGGAGCAACGG